UACGUAGGGUGCAAGCGUUGUCCGGAAUUAUUGGGCGUAAAGAGCUCGUAGGCGGUCUGUCGCGUCUGCUGUGAAAACUCAGGGCUUAACCCUGAGCUUGCAGUGGGUACGGGCAGACUAGAGUGCGGGAUGGGAGAGUAGAAUUCCUGGUGUAGCGGUGGAAUGCGCAGAUAUCAGGAGGAACACCAAUAGCGAAGGCAGCUCGCUGGGACGGUACUGACGCUAAGGCGCGAAAGCGUGGGGAGCAAACAGG
rnacentral:rRNA from 1 species